rnacentral:lncRNA from 1 species
UAUUGAGCAAAAUCUGUUCAGUAUUAUUAAACUGUUUGACUUUUUUAGGAAUGAAUUCACUCAUUGAGAAAUGUUAAUUUUAGUAUGCAGGUCAUGCUUCUUGGGUUUGUACUACUAGGACGUUCUUUGGAGGAAAGGGCAAGGCUGAAAGCAUCUAGUGACAUGAAUGAGCUAUUUGUAAGUUGUUUCUGUGUUAUGUGAUUUAAUAGGGUUAUUUUUCAUUUGUCGGGGGCUCAAGAAGUGGACCAGAAAAUCGCAAGCAAAAUUGUAAGUUGUUUCAGUGUUAUGUGAUUUAAUAGGGUUAUUUUUCAUUUGUCGGGGGCUCAAGAAGUGGACCAGAAAAUCGCAAGCAAAAUAUGGGCUAUAAGACUCUUCAGUAUUUGAUGCUCUUCAAAAGUUGAAAAAUCUAUUAACUACUGGAGUCUAGAUGUUUUACGUGUUGAAGUUUUCUGAUACAGUAGCAUCAAUGACUUUGUUGUAACCAUUCGUGCGACUUCUAAGCUAAACCACCUAUUUAAUCAUGUUAUUCAACAAUACAUUAUCCCUGAUAACAUGAAAUCUAAGUAUUAAAUGUUUUUUUUCCAUUAGUCCUCAAGACUUUGAAUUGUGUGCAUAUACUAGUCAAUACAUUUGAGAUAAAAAAUGAAACAUGUCCGUUAUCAAUUUUUCUCUUAUUUUAUUGAUGAAUUUAAGAGUUCCUUUUUCCAGAAUGCUGCUAUUAGUUGCUAGCAGUGCUACUUUUGGAGCAUUUAUACGGAAGAUAUAGUUAUAAGCGUUGCAUAAAAGCUCUGAUCUGUUAUUUCUGGUGGCAGUGAGAUUAUUAGUUCUGAACUGCAAUCUUGCUGCCUUUGUUUUCUGUUCAUUCAUUUAUCAAGACACAUCUAUGGAGGAAUUGCGUUGGCACUCUGACGGGUAAGUCCAUUGAGUUGGCGAAGGUUCUUCAGAAGAGGAGGGUUAACA